GGAGGGAUCAUUACCGAGUUAUACAACUCCCAAACCCACUGUGAACCUUACUUCAGUUGCCUCGGCGGGAACGCCCCGGCCGCCUGCCCCCGCGCCGGCGCCGGACCCAGGCGCCCGCCGCAGGGACCCCAAACUCUCUUGCAUUACGCCCAGCGGGCGGAAUUUCUUCUCUGAGUUGCACAAGCAAAAACAAAUGAAUCAAAACUUUCAACAACGGAUCUCUUGGUUCUGGCAUCGAUGAAGAACGCAGCGAAAUGCGAUAAGUAAUGUGAAUUGCAGAAUUCAGUGAAUCAUCGAAUCUUUGAACGCACAUUGCGCCCGCCAGCAUUCUGGCGGGCAUGCCUGUUCGAGCGUCAUUUCAACCCUCGAGCCCCCCCGGGGGCCUCGGUGUUGGGGGACGGCACACCAGCCGCCCCCGAAAUGCAGUGGCGACCCCGCCGCAGCCUCCCCUGCGUAGUAGCACACACCUCGCACCGGAGCGCGGAGGCGGUCACGCCGUAAAACGCCCAACUUUCUUAGAGUUGACCUCGGAUCAGGUAUGAAA
rnacentral:rRNA from 1 species